AAACCAACCGGGAUUACCUUAGUAACGGCGAGUGAAGCGGUAAAAGCUCAAAUUUGAAAUCUAGUACCUUCGGUGCUCGAGUUGUAAUUUGUAGAGGGAUACUUUGGGGCCGUUCCUUGUCUAUGUUCCUUGGAACAGGACGUCAUAGAGGGUGAGAAUCCCGUGUGGCGAGGAGUGCGGUUCUAUGUAAAGUGCUCUCGAAGAGUCGAGUUGUUUGGGAAUGCAGCUCUAAGUGGGUGGUAAAUUCCAUCUAAAGCUAAAUAUUGGCGAGAGACCGAUAGCGAACAAGUACAGUGAUGGAAAGAUGAAAAGAACUUUGAAAAGAGAGUGAAAAAGUACGUGAAAUUGUUGAAAGGGAAGGGCAUUUGAUCAGACAUGGUGUUUUGUGCCCUCUGCUCCUUGUGGGUGGGGGAAUCUCGCAGCUCACUGGGCCAACAUCAGUUUUGGCGGCAGGAUAAAUCUAUAGGAAUGUAGCUUACCUCGGUAAGUGUUAUAGCCUGUGGGAAUACUGCCAGCCGGGACUGAGGACUGCGACUUUGUCAAGGAUGUUGGCAUAAUGGUUAAAUGCCGC
rnacentral:rRNA from 2 species